rnacentral:tRNA from 1 species
UAGGAAGUGGUGUAAAGGAAGCACUGAGAGUUUUGAUCUCUCUAGCAUGGGUUCGACUCCCUUCUCCCUAA